GGACUACCGGGGUUUCUAAUCCCGUUUGCUACCCUAGCUUUCGCACCUCAGCGUCAGUAUCGAUCCAGUGAGCCGCUUUCGCCACCGGUGUUCCUCCAGAUAUCUACGCAUUUCACCGCUCCACCUGGAGUUCCACUCACCCCUAUCGAUCUCUAGCCCGCCAGUAUCAGGCGCAAUUCCCCGGUUGAGCCGGGGGAUUUCACACAUGACUUAACGAACCGCCUACGUGCGCUUUAUGCCCAGUAAUUCCGAACAACGUUUGCAACCUCUGUCUUACCGCGGCUGCUGGCAC
rnacentral:rRNA from 1 species